GCCUCGGUGGCCAAGUGGUAAGGCCGACGUCGGUCUCGUAAACCGAAGAUCCAGGGUUCAAUCCCCUGCCGGGGCA